rnacentral:rRNA from 1 species
GACGAACGCUGGCGGCGUGCCUAACACAUGCAAGUCGAGCGGAGAUAAUAGCAAUGUUAUCUUAGCGGCGGACGGGUGAGUAACGCGUGGGUAACCUGCCUUAUACAGGGGGAUAACACAGGGAAACUUGUGCUAAUACCGCAUAACAUCAGACCAUCACAUGGAGGACAGAUCAAAGGAGCAUACCGGUAUAAGAUGGACCCGCGUCCGAUUAGCUAGUUGGAGGUGUAACGGACCACCAAGGCGACGAUCGGUAGCCGAACUGAGAGGUUGAUCGGCCACAUUGGGACUGAGACACGGCCCAGACUCCUACGGGAGGCAGCAGUGGGGAAUAUUGCGCAAUGGGGGAAACCCUGACGCAGCAACGCCGCGUGAAGGAUGAAGGUUUUCGGAUUGUAAACUUCUUUAGUCGGGGACGAACAAAUGACGGUACCCGAAGAAUAAGCCACGGCUAACUACGUGCCAGCAGCCGCAGUAA